GCUCCCCGAUCCUGAUUGGCUAGCAAGGCUUGAGUGACACCUGCUUCCCAAGGCCGAGUGGUGGAACUCAAAUGACAGCCAUAACCCGCCCUCCAAGAGGAACUACAUUCCAUUGUGAUGGGGAAGACAUGGCGGAAGGAGUAUGAGGAAGACAUGGCGGAAGGAGUAUGAGAGAUACAAACAAACAUCAACUCACCCCAGAGAGGGAGCAGACGGCAGAUGAAGGGAAACCCUGACGUUCAACUUGCUGAAUCAAUGAGUUUAUUGGAGUUAUCAGGAGUAUGGCUUAGUGGUUGCUUGAAAAGAACAAGGACUCAAAGCAGGGUCUCACAAAGUAAUCCUGGCUGGUUUGGAACUUGCUGUAUAGACCAAACUGUUUUCAAACUCACAGAUAUCCUGCUUAUGUCUCCUGAUUGAUGGAACUAAAGGCCUGUGACACCAUGCUCUGCUCAAAUAUAUUAAUUUUAUAAGUUUAUUAAAUAUGAUUACAAAGUCUUAU